AUGCAAGUCGAGCGAACAGAUAAGGAGCUUGCUCCUUUGACGUUAGCGGCGGACGGGUGAGUAACACGUGGGUAACCUACCUAUAAGACUGGGAUAACUUCGGGAAACCGGAGCUAAUACCGGAUAACAUUUGGAACCGCAUGGUUCUAAAGUGAAAGAUGGUUUUGCUAUCACUUAUAGAUGGACCCGCGCCGUAUUAGCUAGUUGGUAAGGUAACGGCUUACCAAGGCAACGAUACGUAGCCGACCUGAGAGGGUGAUCGGCCACACUGGAACUGAGACACGGUCCAGACUCCUACGGGAGGCAGCAGUAGGGAAUCUUCCGCAAUGGGCGAAAGCCUGACGGAGCAACGCCGCGUGAGUGAUGAAGGGUUUCGGCUCGUAAAACUCUGUUAUUAGGGAAGAACAAAUGUGUAAGUAACUGUGCACGUCUUGACGGUACCUAAUCAGAAAGCCACGGCUAACUACGUGCCAGCAGCCGCGGUAAUACGUAGGUGGCAAGCGUUAUCCGGAAUUAUUGGGCGUAAAGCGCGCGUAGGCGGUUUCUUAAGUCUGAUGUGAAAGCCCACGGCUCAACCGUGGAGGGUCAUUGGAAACUGGGAAACUUGAGUGCAGAAGAGGAAAGUGGAAUUCCAUGUGUAGCGGUGAAAUGCGCAGAGAUAUGGAGGAACACCAGUGGCGAAGGCGACUUUCUGGUCUGUAACUGACGCUGAUGUGCGAAAGCGUGGGGAUCAAACAGGAUUAGAUACCCUGGUAGUCCACGCCGUAAACGAUGAGUGCUAAGUGUUAGGGGGUUUCCGCCCCUUAGUGCUGCAGCUAACGCAUUAAGCACUCCGCCUGGGGAGUACGACCGCAAGGUUGAAACUCAAAGGAAUUGACGGGGACCCGCACAAGCGGUGGAGCAUGUGGUUUAAUUCGAAGCAACGCGAAGAACCUUACCAAAUCUUGACAUCCUUUGAAAACUCUAGAGAUAGAGCCUUCCCCUUCGGGGGACAAAGUGACAGGUGGUGCAUGGUUGUCGUCAGCUCGUGUCGUGAGAUGUUGGGUUAAGUCCCGCAACGAGCGCAACCCUUAAGCUUAGUUGCCAUCAUUAAGUUGGGCACUCUAGGUUGACUGCCGGUGACAAACCGGAGGAAGGUGGGGAUGACGUCAAAUCAUCAUGCCCCUUAUGAUUUGGGCUACACACGUGCUACAAUGGACAAUACAAAGGGCAGCUAAACCGCGAGGUCAUGCAAAUCCCAUAAAGUUGUUCUCAGUUCGGAUUGUAGUCUGCAACUCGACUACAUGAAGCUGGAAUCGCUAGUAAUCGUAGAUCAGCAUGCUACGGUGAAUACGUUCCCGGGUCUUGUACACACCGCCCGUCACACCACGAGAGUUUGUAACACCCGAAGCCGGUGGAGUAAC
rnacentral:rRNA from 1 species